rnacentral:lncRNA from 1 species
AAGAUUGGUAUUAAUUGUUAACUUGAACAGUGUUGAUAAUUGAUGAUGAGUUCUAAUUUUAAUCAUGAUGAUAAUCUGAGUCUGUCUUAAACUUAUGUAACCGGUUAGCACUUAAAGUUUAACUGUUUUAAUCCACAUGGUUCAAGGGUUUCAUAAUUUGUUUCUGAGGGAAAAUCUUGGUUAAAAUUUAAGGGAAUUAGUGAACUGGCGGUAAAGAUUGGAAUGACGUAAAAGCUUGAGUUUGGGGGAAUCUAUGGGGUAUAUAUAUACAAAAAGAAAAAAAAAGAAAUGAUGAAAAGAAAAAAAAAGAAUAAAAAAUUCAGAAAAAGAAAAAAAAGAAUAAACACCGUGGCAUGCUUGUCUAGUUUUGUGGCCUUUGUUACUUGAGUAAGUAAGCCCGAGGGGAUUGUCUUUACACCUAGCGCCCUAAGGUCUUAAUGGCUUGGGAGUCGUUGGUCGAAAGCUCGUUAAGGUAGCACUGAAAAGCCUAAGGAAAUAAGACAUUGCACAGCCAUGAGAAAAAUAAAAAAAUGAAUAAAACACGAGAAAGAGCAAAAAUGCCCUCGUGGUUGAAUAAAAGUAUAAAUAAAUCCUAUAUUUACCCUAAGACUUGGUAAUUGCUUAGUUUUAACCGGAGUUGUCAUGUUCACAAAAGAAAUUAAAUUGAAAAUGAAAUUUUCCUUCUAAGAAGUUUGUUAUGUGAUUAUCUUGAACUGUGGUUGGAUAGAAUGGUUAACAAGCACACACACACAACAUGGGUGAUGACAAGUUUGGAUUGACUAAUUGGUUAGAUUUAUGGAUUUUGACUUGAUUGGAUAUAUUGUUUGAGUAUCAUUGGUAUCUUUGAGGCCUAUUGCUAUAUAUCAUACUGAUUUAUUACUGGGUUCGUAGGUAUAUUAGAAAGUAGAUCAUGCAUAUGCAUUCAUGUAGUUGAGUU